rnacentral:rRNA from 1 species
AGAGUUUGAUCCUGGCUCAGGACGAACGCUGGCGGCGUGCCUAACACAUGCAAGUCGAGCGGGGAUAUAUGCUGGAGCGCUUCGGUGUGAAGGGAUAUAUCCUAGCGGCGGACGGGUGAGUAACGCGUGGGGAACCUGCCCUUAAGUUCGGGAUACCAACUCGAAAGGGUUGUUAAUACCGGAUGUGCUGCAUUAGCCGCAUGGCGGAUGUAGUAAAGGGGAGACCCGCUUAAGGAUGGCCCUGCGUUCCAUUAGCUAGUUGGUGGGGUAACGGCCUACCAAGGCGACGAUGGAUAGCCGGCCUGAGAGGGCGACCGGCCACACUGGGACUGAGACACGGCCCAGACUCCUACGGGGGGCAGCAGUGGGGAAUCUUGCACAAUGGGCGGAAGCCUGAUGCAGCGACGCCGCGUGAGGGACGAAGGUCUUCGGAUCGUAAACCUCUGUCCAAAGGGACGAAGGAGUGACGGUACCUUUGGAGGAAGCCCCGGCCAACUACGUGCCAGCAGCCGCGGUAAGACGUAGGGGGCGAGCGUUGUCCGGAAUCAUUGGGCGUAAAGGGCGCGUAGGCGGUGACGUAAGUCAGGCGUGAAAGGCAUCGGCUCAACCGACGCACAUAGCCUGAUACUACGUUGCUAGAGUGCAGGAGAGGAGAGUGGAAUUCCAGGUGUAGCGGUGAAAUGCGUAGAUAUCUGGAAGAACACCAGUGGCGAAGGCGGCUCUCUGGACUGUAACUGACGCUGAGGCGCGAAAGCUGGGGGAGCAAACAGGAUUAGAUACCCUGGUAGUCCCAGCC